GAAGACUAUAGAUAAAAAAUUAUUUCUGUUGUUUCACAUUAUACAAGAUCAAUUCAGUCAAUAAACUGAUCACACAGAAAGAGUUGAGGGCUGUUUGAAGUUGUGUUUAUAUUAUUGCAUGGUAAUUGUUGAGUCAUAGCCUGAACUACUGAUCAGCUGGGGAAUCAAUUGGGUCAGCCUUGGAAGCACAGGUGAAGACAAUUCAACUGUGUGACCACAAGGAGUGGAUAGUGUUUGUAUCUCUCUUAGACGCCAUUUAAGGGAUGAUUGCCUCUGGAGAUGGAUCUCUGGUCUGUUAUCUAAGGAGAAAUUACAUCUAAAGGAGGAAUUUGUGACAUACAUGACUGCUACAAGAACAGAAAUACCCAAAGUGGAUAUGAUAACGUAUAACAUUCCAAUGUUGUUAGAUCAAAACAUAUCUUUCUCCAUAGCUAGUGCUGUGCAGGUGAGAAGACAAGUAUUUUUGGUUGUAG
rnacentral:lncRNA from 1 species